rnacentral:rRNA from 1 species
UACGUAGGGGUCUAGCGUUGUCCGGAAUUAUUGGGCGUAAAGAGCUCGUAGGCGGUUUGUCGCGUCUGCUGUGAAAACUGGAGGCUCAACCUCCAGCCUGCAGUGGGUACGGGCAGACUAGAGUGCGGUAGGGGAGAUUGGAAUUCCUGGUGUAGCGGUGGAAUGCGCAGAUAUCAGGAGGAACACCGAUGGCGAAGGCAGAUCUCUGGGCCGUAACUGACGCUGAGGAGCGAAAGCAUGGGGAGCGAACAGG